CAGUCGCCGCGGUAAUACGGAAGGUCCGGGCGUUAUCCGGAUUUAUUGGGUUUAAAGGGAGCGUAGGCCGUGGAUUAAGUGUGUUGUGAAAUGCAGGUGCUCAACGUCUGCACUGCAGCGCGAACUGGUCCACUUGAGUGUGCGCAACGCAGGCGGAAUUCGUCGUGUAACAGUGAAAUGCUUAGAUAUGACGAGGAACUCCGAUUGCGAAGGCAGCUUGCGGGAGCACAACUGACGCUGAAGCUCGAAAGUGCGGGUAUCGAACAGGAUUAGAUACCCGAGUAGUCCCUGUCUCUUAUAC
rnacentral:rRNA from 1 species